AUCCAGCUGAUGAGUUGCGAAUAGGACGAAACGCGCGUCAGGGAU
rnacentral:hammerhead_ribozyme from 1 species